rnacentral:tRNA from 1 species
GCGGGUGUAGCUCAGUGGUAGAGCAGCGGGUUGUGGCUCCGCUGGCCGCGGGUUCAAUCCCCGUCACUCGCCCCA